rnacentral:rRNA from 1 species
GCUAGGGGACGGUUCGGUUCCGUGUCGAUGAAGGACGUACGGAAUUACAAAAGUGGUUGGAAAUGGCAGGAUUUCGGGAGCCAAGGAAUAUCGGAAGCCAUGUUCUUCCUUUCCCAGCUUUGGGGUGCCAAGGGGGGGUUGGGCA